AACCCGGCCCUUUUCAGGGCCACCCCACAUUAUCCAAAAAGAGCUUU
rfam:Branchiostoma floridae genomic scaffold BRAFLscaffold_174, whole genome shotgun sequence.